rnacentral:rRNA from 1 species
UACAGAGGUCUCAAGCGUUGUUCGGAUUCAUUGGGCGUAAAGGGUGCGUAGGCGGCGCGGUAAGUCGGGUGUGAAAUCUCGGAGCUUAACUCCGAAACUGCAUUCGAUACUGCCGUGCUUGAGGACUGGAGAGGAGACUGGAAUUUACGGUGUAGCGGUGAAAUGCGUAGAUAUCGUGAGGAAUACCAGAGGCGAAGGCGGCUCCCUGGACAAUUGCUGACGCUCAGGCACGAAAGCGUGGGGAGCAAAAGGG